rnacentral:rRNA from 1 species
CCCUUAGAUGUUCUGGGCCGCACACGCGCUACACUGAUGCAUUCAACGAGUCUAAAACCUGCUCUGAUAGGGGUGGGUAAUCUUUUGAAUGUGCAUCGUGAUUGGGAUAGAUGAUUGCAAUUUUUCAUCUUCAACGAGGAAUGCCUAGUAAACGCAAGUCAUCAGCUUGCAUUGAUUACGUCCCUGCCCUUUGUACACACCGCCCGUCGCUCCUACCGAUUGAAUGAUCCGAUGAAUAUCAUGGAUUGAGGAUGUAAGCAGGUUCGCCUGUCUUCAUCUUCGAGAAGUGAAGUAAAUCUUAUCAUUUAGAGGAAGGAGAAGUCGUAACA